rnacentral:rRNA from 1 species
GCAGUAGCCGCGGGAAUACAGAGGGUGCGAGCGUUAAUCGGAUUUACUGGGCGUAAAGCGUGCGUAGGCGGCUUCUUAAGUCGGAUGUGAAAUCCCUGAGCUUAACUUAGGAAUUGCAUUCGAUACUGGGAAGCUAGAGUAUGGGAGAGGAUGGUAAAAUUCCAGGUGUAGCGGUGAAAUGCGUAGAGAUCUGGAGGAAUACCGAUGGCGAAGGCAGCCAUCUGGCCUAAUACUGACGCUGAGGUACGAAAGCAUGGGGAGCAAACAGGAUUAGAUACCCCAGUAGUCCCUGUCUCUUAUAC